UUAUCGGUUUGAUUGAAAUUUGUUCUCCAGUCCCAUAAUUUUCCAAUUAAUGCAAAACCUGAUUCUCAUUCCUUCGGAGUUCGGUGUUUUAUUGAUGUAUGACCUGUGAUGGUUCUUUGCAAGGUGUAUGCAUCACAACAGAUUACUAUCUAAUACGGAUCCGCUUGCUGGUGUUUCCUUCCCAGAAAUAGUCCCUUCCUCAUGUUCUCUUCGUGCAUCUAUGAUUGUGCAUGCAUUCCUCAAUCGGCUGACACCCUUACUCUUCAAAGGAGACAUCGUUCCUGAAAACGCACUCCUGGCCUGUCUUCUUUUCUUUUUAUUUCUUGAUUGGUUUUAAAAUCAGUCUGAUUCUGUUUACGCUAUGUUAUUUUCUGAAGGAACGUCUGGCCUCUCUUGGACUCUGCCAUGUUGUGGGCAGUGUUAAGUGGUUUCUUUCUUCUCGGAGCGAUCAUUUUCUCUGAGGAUGAUGUCUGAGAGGACAAUGAAUAUGAUCCAGCUGGUCAUAGUUUGGUCAAGGCAAUACCCUACCUCGUCAAUUUCGAGAUGGAGUGUCUGUGGUCCAUGAUGGUUCUUUCUUGCUGCAUAAGAAUUAAUUCAUAGGACAAGCUCUCCUUUCAGAGUGCUUUCUUGUCUGAAAAGUUCUACACAAUUGGUUUCACUUCGGGGCAAAGUGGUAGCAUCUUAUUUCGAAAUGACGUACUUCAGAUAUCUAUCGCAAUUUGCAUUCUUAAUCUUUCUUAUAUUGUUUCUAUUUCGUAAUGGAAGAUGAUGGAUGAUACCAGUUGUUCUUUGGCAGAUUGGCAUUGGAUUGGAAACUUUUGAUUAUUGCAUCUUUCCUCUUGUACCGAUCUCUUUAUCCGAGCAUGUCGUCUAAGAAUGACAAAUACAUAGAAGCUGGUGAGUUAACAUAGAAGAAGGUGAUUGGGCUUCUUGGAGGAGAGGUGAUCUAUUAUGCAGUCUUUGUUUUCUUGAGUUCUGAAGUAGUCUUCUCUGAUUGCAUCUUCAGGAUGAGCGAAUUUUGAGGAUUUAUAGGCAUCUUGUAGUUUUGAUUUAAGUUUGUCUUCAGUUGAUUAUCUUCAGGAGCAGUGAGAUAAUUAUUAUCGAGUUCUAAUUCCUCUACUGGAAGCUUUUCCAUGUUGAGAAGUGGUGUGAUCUAUUGCCUUCUUCUGUAGGGUGAGUUGAUGAUUGUUUGAAAUUGGAUAAACAGCCAUUUUGUGGAUUCUAAGGACUGGUAUAUAUGAUGAGGUUGGUCAAUUAUUACUUAGAAUGACUGAGCUUUUCUUGAGUUUGA